rnacentral:rRNA from 1 species
CAUAAGCGCACAGUACCGCAUGGUACGGUGUGAAAAACUCCGGUGGUAUGAGAUGGACCCGCGUCUGAUUAGCUAGUUGGCGAGGUAACGGCCCACCAAGGCGACGAUCAGUAGCCGACCUGAGAGGGUGAUCGGCCACAUUGGGACUGAGACACGGCCCAGACUCCUACGGGAGGCAGCAGUGGGGGAUAUUGCACAAUGGAGGAAACUCU